AGAGUUGAUCCUGGCUCAGGAUGAACGCUAGCUACAGGCUUAACACAUGCAAGUCGAGGGGCAGCAUGAAGUUUGCUUGCAAACUUGAUGGCGACCGGCGCACGGGUGAGUAACGCGUAUCCAACCUUCCCUAUACUAGAGGAUAGCCCGGCGAAAGUCGGAUUAAUACUCUAUGUUGUAUUUCGAGGACAUCUGAAUAAUACCAAAGGUUUACCGGUAUAGGAUGGGGAUGCGUCUGAUUAGGUUGUUGGCGGGGUAACGGCCCACCAAGCCUACGAUCAGUAGGGUUCUGAGAGGAAGGUCCCCCACAUUGGAACUGAGACACGGUCCAAACUCCUACGGGAGGCAGCAGUGAGGAAUAUUGGUCAAUGGACGAGAGUCUGAACCAGCCAAGUAGCGUGCAGGAUGACGGCCCUAUGGGUUGUAAACUGCUUUUAUACAGGGAUAAAGUUCACUACGUGUAGUGUUUUGUAGGUACUGUAUGAAUAAGGACCGGCUAAUUCCGUGCCAGCCGCUGC
rnacentral:rRNA from 1 species